CCUAUGGGUGGCUGCAGUGGGGGAUAUUGCACAAUGGGGGAAACCCUGAUGCAGCGACGCCGCGUGUGGGAAGACGGUCUUCUGGAUUGUAAACCACUGUCCCCAGGGACGAAAAUGACGGUACCUGAAGAAGACGCCCCGGCUAACUACGUGCCAGCAGCCGCGGUCAUACGUAGGGGGCAAGCGUGAUCCGGAUUUACUGGGUGUAAAGGGGGCGCAGACGGCGAUGCAAGCCAGGAGUGAAAGCCCGGGGCCCAACCCCGGGACUGCUCUUGGAACUGCGUGGCUGGAGUGCAGGAGGGGCAGGAGGAAUUCCUGGUGUAGCGGUGAAAUGCGUAGAUAUCAGGAGGAACACCGGUGGCGAAGGCGGCCUGCUGGACUGCAACUGACGUUGAGGCCCGAAAGCGUGGGGAGCAAACAGGAUUAGAUACCCUAGUAGUC
rnacentral:rRNA from 1 species